GAUGAACGCUGGCGGCGUGCCUAAUACAUGCAAGUCGAGCGAACAGAUGAGGAGCUUGCUCCUCUGACGUUAGCGGCGGACGGGUGAGUAACACGUGGAUAACCUACCUAUAAGACUGGGAUAACUUCGGGAAACCGGAGCUAAUACCGGAUAAUAUAUUGAACCGCAUGGUUCAAUAGUGAAAGACGGUUUUGCUGUCACUUAUAGAUGGAUCCGCGCCGCAUUAGCUAGUUGGUAAGGUAACGGCUUACCAAGGCAACGAUGCGUAGCCGACCUGAGAGGGUGAUCGGCCACACUGGAACUGAGACACGGUCCAGACUCCUACGGGAGGCAGCAGUAGGGAAUCUUCUGCAAUGGGCGAAAGCCUGACGGAGCAACGCCGCGUGAGUGAAGAAGGUCUUCGGAUCGUAAAACUCUGUUAUUAGGGAAGAACAAAUGUGUAAGUAACUAUGCACGUCUUGACGGUACCUAAUCAGAAAGCCACGGCUAACUACGUG
rnacentral:rRNA from 1 species